CUACGGGGGGCACCAGUGGGGAAUAUUGGGCAAUGGGCGAAAGCCUGACCCAGCAACGCCGCGUGAUUGAGGAAGGUCUUCGGAUUGUAAAGAUCUGUCCUUGGGGACGAAAAAAAUGACGGUACCCAAGGAGGAAGCCCCGGCUAACUACGUGCCAGCAGCCGCGGUAAUACGUAGGGGGCGAGCGUUGUCCGGAAUUACUGGGCGUAAAGGGUGCGCAGGCGGCGCUUUAAGUCAGAUGUGAAAUAUUCGGGCUCAACCCGAAGGGUGCAUUUGAAACUGGAGUGCUUGAGUGCAGGAGAGGAAAGUGGAAUUCCUAGUGUAGCGGUGAAAUGCGUAGAUAUUAGGAGGAACACCAGUGGCGAAGGCGACUUUCUGGACUGUAACUGACGCUGAGGCACGAAAGCGUGGGGAGCAAACAGGAUUAGAUACCCCCGUAGUC
rnacentral:rRNA from 1 species